GAAGAAAAUGAUGGCAACAUUGCAUCAACACAUUUCUAUGAAUCUGUACAAAUAACAGUCGCAACCCUGCUGGCCCAAAGUGUUUCAAAAAGCUUCCUCAAAAGAAAUCAAGUCGGAUUCUUAUGACAACAUGGCUCUUCUCUGCAUUAGUAAUUGUGGCAGCUUACCAGGGCUCCCUUAUUGCUGCUCUUACUCUACCUAGAUACCCUUUGAGACCUGAAUCUAUUGAAGAACUUGUAAAAUCUACAGAUACGUAAUUAUUUUCAUGCCAUUUUCCUAUACGUACAUAUAUUGUUACAUACUCAAUUAUUAGCAAACAGAGGUUUCUGUAAAAAGAAAAUAUUGAAUCAUUCACCAUUUAUGGCAAAUUAUUUCCACAGGGUGACAAUAAUGGCGUGGGGUGCUGACUUUGUAGACUUCUUCAGAAAUUCAGGAUCCCAGCUUUACAUGCGUCUGGGAGAUAUCAUGGUGGUUGGGGUAGAUACCAUAGAGGGCCUGCAAAAAACUCUGGAGCGAAGACAAGCUCAUUUGGAGACAAUUCACAAGAUGAAGCAAGAUAUUGCCGAACAUUUCACACGGGAAGAUGGUUCUUCACCCAUAUAUAUCGGCCGAGAGAGCAUUAUGCCUGCCCUAGCUGCCUGGCCUAUCCCUCAUGAUGCUCCUUACACUCCUCAACUUGAUUUCUGCCUUUGUGCAGUCGUAGAGGCUGGUCUGUAUAACAAGUGGACUGAAGACAUGAUGAUUUUAGCCAGAAAAGAAAGUCGUGAAAGGAAAAUAUCAAUUCAACAAAAAACAAAACAACACAUUACUGAAAUAGAAUCUAAAACAAAGCUGAUGAAUCCAACGACAGAGAAAAAGAGGUCUCUCAAUCUCACGCAGUUACUUGGGCCACUACUUUUAUUGUCUUUUGGUAUUACUGCAGGAAGUAUAGCUUUUAUCGUUGAAAUACGUUUAAACAGGUUUCACAAAACACACUAAAGUAUGAAAACACUUACUGUGCUACUUUUCUUGAUGUAUCU